GGGGAUAUAGCUCAAUUGGUAGAGUGCUUGCCUCACAUGUACAAGGCCCUGGGUUCAAUCCCCAGCAUCACAA
rnacentral:tRNA from 1 species